CCCGGCCCCCCGGCGUUCCCUCUCCGCGCACCUCCCGGCCCGCGCUAGCAGGUAGCAGGCAAGAGUGUGGUUAUCGUUGGACCAGGAUUCAGGAUCUGACUGAGUAGCUGACUCUUAAUCCAGUUUGUGUUGAUCACCAGGAGGAUCUGGACCUCAGUAUUACCACAUCUAGAGCUAUAAUCACAUCCCUGUUAAGCCUUCCUGAGAUCACACCAAAUGUCCUUGAUGGGAAUUGUAAACAACCCUUACUUCUGGUUUCUAAUGAUAUUCCAGGAAAGGAGCCUAACUAGAGUCAGUGAUAUGCCAACUCCACCUUUGCCUUCCACCAUGUUUGGAAGCUCCCUGAGGCCUCACCAGGAGCAGAUGCUCGUCCCAUGCUUCCUAUAAGCCUGCAGAACUGGAAAAGAAAGCUGGAUAAAGUAUUUAUAGAAGAUAGAGGACCUGUGGUGGCUCAUGCCUGUAAUCCAAGGUGGAAGGAUUGCUUGAGGCCAGAAGUUCAAGACCAGUCCAAGCAACAUAGCAAGGCCCCAUCUCUACAAAAAAUGAAAAUAAAAUUAGCCGAGCGUGAUGGCUCAUGCCUGUAGUUCUAGCUUCUAGAGAGGCUGAGGCAGGAGGAUUGCUUGAGUCCAGGAGUUCAAGAUUACAGUGAGCUAUGGUCACACCACUGCACUCCAGCCUGGGUGAUGGAGUGAGACUGUCUCAAUAAAAAGACAAAAAGGCUGGCCAGGGGCAGUGGUUCAUGCCUGUAAACCCAGCACUUUGGGAGGCAAAGGCAGGAGGAUUGCUUAAGCCCAGGAAUUUGAGAUCAGCCUGGACAACAUGUAAAAGGUUAGUAGGAAAUGUGUUUUCCCCCAUGGGGCAUUCCUGGAGAAAUCUCUAGCAAUAAAGGUACUUGUUUGACUGGACAAGUUGUAAAACAGUUUAAUAAGGUUUUUUUUAGGUGUCAUAGCAUUAGGCAAAGCUAACUGAAUUGACUGGAUUGUCAUAGUCAAACAUAUUGCAGAUCCGCUUCCAAUAGAAGACAAUGAAAUAGUCACUGGAAAGCCUGUGCUCCUAAUUUUAGAACCUCAUGUAUCUUCUGCUCCUAAACUCUGAUAGGACUAAAUGCUGUGAGGCCUCAAUGCAUUAUGUUAAUGUGUAUUUUCACCAGGUCAAGGAAGCUUUUCCUGAUCCACUAACUAAGGACAAUCAAACCCUUCAUGAUCUAGAAUCUGGAGACUGUGUCUUCUGGGAAUAGUAUCAGAGAAAGACUGCCCUUACUGCCCACAUGUAGCAAAACUUUGAGACGUUGAAUUAUGGGUCCAUAAUCUCACAACUCAGAGGGGCACCUCUAGACUCUUGGAACUGUAUAUCUAUUGGAGACUUUAAGGUAAAGCUGAACAGAGAGACGUUUUUCUCCAGAAGCAGACAGCACCAUAGUCAUGGACAGCUUUCCCAAGAUCACAGAUCAAGACUUCUCUGCCGUCAUGAGACUCAUAACCUCUUAAUUUUUUCUUGCUUAUGCUUCUGUGAACAAUAGAAUUGGAAAAGGGGUGGUCCCGCGUGCACCCAUAGGGUAUACUUUUAUUUGUGGAGGAUUUUGCUGCCAACCUUAUACAUGGGCAAACUUAUGCCUUCAUGGAUGGAAGAUAAAGGGCUAAUAUGGGUUAGAAAUUUUAAUGGUACCUUUGUUUCUCCAUAAUCAUUCAGAAACAGAACACUGGUCCACUCUUGUUAACCUACAUCAUAGGUUGAAGAGAACAUUGCCAGGAGGCCUUCAUCCUUCCAGAUGGGCACCAUUUGUUGGGUCUUUUUCCGUGGUAUGAAGAAAAUGAAGCAAUGAUUAGAAAUUGGUCCCUCGGCCGGGCACAAUGGCUCAUGCCUGUAAUCCCAUCACUUUGGCAGGCCGAGGCGGGUGGAUCACCUGAGGUCAGGAGUUUGAGACCAGCCUGACCAAUGUGGUGAAACGCCAUCUCUACUAAAAAUACAAAAAUUAGCUGGGUGUGAUGGUGCACACCUGUAAUCCAGCUACUCGGGAGGCUGAGACAGGAGAAUUGCUUGAACCUGGGAGGCAGAGGUUGCAGUGAGCCAAGAUCACCCCACUGCAUUCCAGGUUGGGCAACAGAGCAAGACUCUGUCUCAAAAAAAAAAGAAGAAAGAAAGAAAUUGAUCCCUCAUAAUAGGCUGUAUAGCAGAUUCUACUGCAAAGGCUAUGGUUGCACAACAGACUUCUUUGAAUUUGCUUGCUAAACUUUUACUGGAUAAUACUGGGAUUACAGGUGUGAGCCACUGUGCCCAGCCUCUCCUGUUUAACUGUAUUCAUUCUAAUGUUUACUUACUUCUUUAAUUUGUAAAAUUGGGUCACUUAGAGUUUUUUUAGCCUAUCUUGCCAUUUAGCCACUGUUACUGAUAAUUUGGAUGGAAAAGAAAAAUAAAUUAUAUCACCUCUCAUCUUCAGUGUAUAUAUGUGUUAACUUAGUAAAUAUAGUAUUCUUUCUCGUUCCUAAUGAAAAUUUAGUUUACGUACUGAAACACUGCAAACUUUUAUAAAUAUUGUGAUGUAUUUGACCAAUACAAAGGAUCUUUUUAGAAACAGCAAACAGUUCUCAGAUUAUAGGAAUUACUCAUUUAAUGAUAGUUUCUUCUU
rnacentral:lncRNA from 10 species